UGUAAAGCAGGAAGUACCCAUGCAUCGGUCUUUUUUUUUGGCAGAUGAGCUUUUCUCACUUGUAGCUCAGUGCUUACAUACUACCUUAGUCUGUGCUGCUCUGUGCAUCCAUUUAACUGUAAGUAAACUAUUUACAUUCUUCUUUACCUUGAUUAAACAGUGGUUUACUUGAUUCUUCUUAUAUUCAUGUUCAUCAUCACUCAUCAUGCUAAAGGCCUGCUAAUUAGCCUGAGGCUAAUUAGAAAAGUGAAGAUCUGUAAUGUUUGCUUCCAUCACAUAAUCAUGUCAUGUACAUUUAUUUAUUGAUUAUUGUUGUUUAUUAUUUAGUUGUGUAGCUGAGAUUCUCAUAUUGAAUUCAGCCUUCUUUGGUAGACAAAAGGCUUCUUUGUUUGUUGGUCAGCAUUGCCUCACUGUUUCAUAUCGUGCUCAUGAUUUGCAUCCUUUUAGUAAGCUGCUUUUUCAUAGGUUGUUUACGUUUUAUUCUUUCUACAUAAUUUUGUUUCCUUCCUUUCAGAAAGCAAACUCUGCAAACUUACAAACAUAAAAAGAUGUCUCUCUUGGACACCCUGUAAAGACUCUUAAGCAAUAAAGCUCUCCCCACAGGAACAACUGUUUGUGACUUAACGUGUCACUUCAGAUGUUGCAUGUUCUUUCUCAAACGUAUAUGUGAAGAAAGUGUGUGUGCCUGACACACUUUUGAAAGUGUGUUUUGUCUAGAUUCAGUAUUGCGUAUAAAAGUGAGGGGGAAAUUGUUUAUUUGCAUUUGAUGGAUAUUUCUUGAGAUCAGGUCACUACAAAACGCAGACAACUCAUCUGAGUCUUUUUGUUGGCAAGCAGAAGUGAAAGUUGAUUUCCUAACUUUGAAAAUAACUAAAUAUAUCAUCUCCCAUUGACUGUUUCCUGUCAGUUAGGACUCAGGUUUGCAGCAGAUUUACACCCAGAUUUGUACAUAAUUUUCUAGAAGCUUUGAAAGAUUAAAACCACACCGUGGGUGAAUGAAGAGCAUGGAACUGUUUUUUAUCAUUGUGCUAUUAGUAGGAGGAACUCAAGGUAAGAUUGUCCUCAUAAAGAAGCCAAACAUUCACAUUUGUAGUGUGAAUAAUUCACCUCAUGUUCUAUUAAAUGCAUCUUCUCCAGCUCUCUUUCCAGUUGAUGCAACCACAUGUGACCUCAGGACAAACACAUGUCCAUGCUCUCCUCUUCUUGAAGGAACUGUGUAUGUCCAAGUGAUGACUGAUGCUAGUGGCCGUGAAAUGAAGUGUUUGAAGAUGCUUCCCAAGGGGAACAUAACUGUGUUCAGUCUGAAGAAAGAAAAAAUAACGACAGACAAGGAAUUUUACAACAGGCUAACGUUUAUAAUCAAGAACGGGACACUCAAGAUCACAAACCUGAAGAAGAGUGAUUCAGGUCAAUACAGCAUUGAGGUCUAUAAUUCAAAUGGAUUCCAAGAGAAAAACAUUUAUUUCACCCUGGAUGUUAAAGACAACAGCAAAGUUGAAAGCAAGUUAUCACACAGUUUUCCUUACCUGAGGAUAGUCUUUGCUGCACUGGGAUCUCCCCUGAUAGCAGUGGCAUGCUGCCUUGUUUAUAGGGAACUGAAGCAUCUGAAGAAGACUUCUAACAAGGCAGCCCAUGAUCAAAAGAGGUUGAUAAACAAUUACAUAAUUCCAGUGAAUACCAUAAUUUGAUGGGUAAUUGUAAAAAUCUUUGUUUUGCUAUAAUUGUUUUUUUUUCUUUCACAGCCUCAGGUGUGAAACAGAGAAUAUAAACCUUAAGUGUGAGUCUGAGCUUUAGUGAGCUGACUUCUGUCAUAACCAGGACUGGACACUGAUCAAUGAAAUAAAAAAAAAAAAAGGAAAUUCAAAAACAACAAUCAGGAGUAUGUCUGUGUAGGUUCUCAGUCAUCCAGAUCAUGGUAGUCUAAGGAGCGUGAAGUUUGAAAGUUUCACUUCCUUCAUAUAGUAGUUGUGUAAAAUGAACAUAUCUCCUCGUAUGGUGAGAUCUCAGGGUGAAACUGAGGCUCUCAGUGUUGCUAAAAUAUUCUCAAACUUCUACAUUGUUUCACACGUCUAUUUUCUCAUGCAACUGAAGAACAUUGUCAUUGUUUUAAUGAAAUUGACUGUAAGUGAAAUAUGAUAUCAAGUGAAGGCUUUCUCCAGUUUAUUUGUAAGUGGCGCUAGUGAAUAACUAAUAACAAUCAAUAAUUAAUCAUUUUAUUAAGAAGAAGUGGUAAUUUAACUUUAUUGUUAUAUGUUAGUUGUUUUUUAAGGUAAAAUGUAGUUCAGAUCCAAUUCCUACUUAGUCACAGCUUACUGUGUAAAACAAAAGGACCUUCAGAAAUACUUUCUUACUUAGGAUGAGUAUGACUGAAUCUGUGGAAAUACUAUACGCCAAAAACAGAAAUAUGUAUUUCUGCACUUAAAAAUAGAUCAAACAGAAUUAUACUUAUCAUUUUGCACCAGAAAUACAAUUAAUUCAACAAGGUAAGAAGAAGGGAGCAUUUAUUGUUGCGUAAACAUUAAAAUUAAAUUAAUGAUCUGGACCUGUACAUAUGGGUAGGUGUGAGGUUUCCCUCUACUGGUUUAUGGAGGUGUUGCAUUUAAAUUUGGAUGAACUCUUGACCGGAGAUGAGUCUUCUAGCAACUGUAGUUUUAAUUAUGUCACAGCAUGGAAUUUGUCCUUUUAAGGCCGUGUGUAUAAUAUUUGGUACAUGGAUUUUGAGACCACGAUAUUAUGAGGAUGACUUUUCCCCCCAAAUAACCUGAUGUAUUAAAUCAGACACAUACUGUAAGCAAUAAAUAGAAAAAAAAUAUGGCAUGCCGUAAAUAUCAUUAAUUUAAAAGUCAUAAAUGCAAAUAGAUUAAAAAAAUAUGAAUUUAAAAAAUAUUUUCAUAGUUCUGACUUUAGAGGGUAAUGACCUAUUAUCUAAUCCUGAUACUGCUCAGUCAGUUGUGCUCGUAGAUGAUCUGCUCCAUUUGAUACUGUGGACCAUUAAAUAUUUAUUUUCCCAUUUAAGAUGAGAUAUGAACAGUUGAAUUACAGUAAGGGGAGUGCUGUAUUAGUAGACACUAAGUGAUGGGCAAGAUAGUGUUAACUUGUUACAGAUCUAAAAAUAGUUUAGUCAAAGUGUGAGCAAUAAGUAAAAAGUCUGCUCGAGUUCCUUUUAUUUCUACCAAGUAAUGAACGUGCUGAUGUUCCUUUUCAGCUUUCCACAUAUACGGAAAGAACUGUCUUAGAGGUUUAUCAGAAGCCAAUUGUGACUGUUAACUCCUAGAUGUACAUGCCAUUUAAUAAAGUAUGCUGACUUUGUCAGCGCACACUGAACAAGGAGGAGACAUGGAAGUUGUGCUUGGAUUGAUGGUGAUUCUACUGGGAGUGUCUCAUGGUAAACUGUUUUUUUUUUAAAUCUCAUUUUAAUCAUAAUAAUAUGCUAUAUAUCAGCAAUGUGUUUUCAAGCAAUACUUAAGCAAAAAUGCAUAAAUUCUCACAUUGUUCUCUGGGAUGUUAAAGAAGCUCAAAUACUUGUUCUUUAUUUAUUUCAUUUCUUUUAAUAAAUUCAUGUAAGAAUCUACUGGCUACAUCUGCAGUUUGUGUCACUUCACAUUUUUUCUUUUUACAUUUUUUAUUAUUAGUGGUAAAGUACUGAGACUGAGUUGUGUUCUUGUUCUCUAUUCUUUUUAUAUAAAAACCCUCCAUACAAACUACCUUGAGGUUAAAAAAAUAGCAUUUUUG
ensembl:lncRNA